GGGAGAGGCUGUGGCUCAAUGGUAGAGCAUCUGCUUGACAUGCAAAAGGUGCCAGGUUCAAUUCCUGGCAUUCCCA